rnacentral:misc_RNA from 1 species
UUUAUCUCUGCAGGAGACGCUACGUAAUGAGAGGAAUAAAUUAGCUAGACUUGAAACAAAACUCCAGAGACUUGAGAUAGAAAGAGUGGGUGUAACAAGUGGAUUACACGGCGGCUACAAAUUACGUUCUUCAAAAUCAGCCACGGCUACGACUACUAACGAAAAUUCACAGGACGACACACGUUUCAAGAUCGAAUUACUCGAAGAAAAGUGUCUAGCCCUGGAAGCAAGAUUGGCUACAGUACAGCGCGAUAAAACCUCAGAUCUCACACUCUAUACGCAGAUGUUGGAUCAAGCCAGAAAAACUUUUCAAGACGCGUACAGAGGGAAAACUCCCGCCUCCAAUAGCUGUUCAAUGAUUACGAUAUAAAAAUGGAUGGAAACAAUUUGAAACGUUUCGCAAAGUGUAAUCGUAAUUGCGCACUUCAAGGCAUAAAUCUGGAUGAUCUGCUUUAAAAAUAGAUGUGUAUAUGGCUAUUUAAUUUAAUGAAUAAAUUAACGAACAAAGAUGAGAGGAAAAAUGUAAUAAGAGUGUUCACGGAGCUUCUCCAUCUGUUACACGUGUAGAAAUUAUAAGCAGGAGUACUUGUACCUAAUAUACUUAUAUGCAU